rnacentral:rRNA from 1 species
GACGAACGCUGGCGGCGUGCUUAACACAUGCAAGUCGAACGGAAAGGCUCCAGCUUGCUGGAGUACUCGAGUGGCGAACGGGUGAGUAACACGUGGGUAAUCUGCCCUGCACUCUGGGAUAAGCCUGGGAAACUGGGUCUAAUACUGGAUAUGACCUUUCUCCUUAUGGGGUUUGGUGGAAAGUUUUUCGGUGUAGGAUGAGCCCGCGGCCUAUCAGCUUGUUGGUGGGGUGAUGGCCUACCAAGGCGACGACGGGUAGCCGGCCUGAGAGGGUGAUCGGCCACAUUGGGACUGAGAUACGGCCCAGACUCCUACGGGAGGCAGCAGCGGGGAAUAUUGCACAAUGGGCGGAAGCCUGAUGCAGCGACGCCGCGUGAGGGAUGACGGCCUUCGGGUUGUAAACCUCUUUCAGCAGGGACGAAGCGUAAGUGACGGUACCUGCAGAAGAAGCACCGGCUAACUACGUG